CAGUCGCCACGGGAAUACCAGCACCUCGAGUGGUCAGGAGGUUUAUUGGGCCUAAAGCAUCCGUAGCCGGUUGCAUAAGUUUUCGGUUAAAUCUAUGCGCUUAACGUAUAGGCCGCCGAAAAUACUGUGCAGCUAGGGAGUGGGAGAGGUACACGGUACUCGAUAGGAAGGGGUAAAAUCCUUUGAUCUAUUGAUGACCACCUGUGGCGAAGGCGGUGUACCAGAACACGUUCGACGGUGAGGGAUGAAAGCUGGGGGAGCAAACCGGAUUAGAUACCCUGUAGUCCCUGUCUCUUAUACA
rnacentral:rRNA from 1 species